rnacentral:tRNA from 1 species
GGUUCCGUAGCUCAACUGGACAGAGCAUGCAUGGGCAUGGAUGGCGGUUCGAAUCCGCCCGGAGCCA